ACGUAGGUCCCAAGCGUUGUCCGGAUUUAUUGGGCGUAAAGCGAGCGCAGGUGGUUUCUUAAGUCUGAUGUAAAAGGCAGUGGCUCAACCAUUGUGUGCAUUGGAAACUGGGAGACUUGAGUGCAGGAGAGGAGAGUGGAAUUCCAUGUGUAGCGGUGAAAUGCGUAGAUAUAUGGAGGAACACCGGAGGCGAAAGCGGCUCUCUGGCCUGUAACUGACACUGAGGCUCGAAAGCGUGGGGAGCAAACAG
rnacentral:rRNA from 1 species